GAUGAACGCUAGCUACAGGCUUAACACAUGCAAGUCGAGGGGCAGCAUGAACAAAGCUUGCUUUGUUUGAUGGCGACCGGCGCACGGGUGCGUAACACGUAUCCAAUCUGCCCGCGGCUCGGGGAUAGCCCAUCGAAAGAUGGAUUAAUACCCGAUGGCGUGGUUUCUCCGCAUGGAGUUUCCACUAAAGGUUUUCCGGCCGCGGAUGAGGAUGCGUAUGAUUAGGUAGUAGGCGGGGUAACGGCCCACCUAGCCUUCGAUCAUUAGGGGUUCUGAGAGGAAGGUCCCCCACACUGGAACUGAGACACGGUCCAGACUCCUACGGGAGGCAGCAGUGAGGAAUAUUGGUCAAUGGGCGAGAGCCUGAACCAGCCAAGUAGCGUGAAGGAAGACUGCCCUAUGGGUUGUAAACUUCUUUUGUUCGGGAAUAAAGUGCAGUAUGUAUACUGUUUUGUAUGUACCGUUCGAAUAAGCAUCGGCUAAUUCCGUGCCAGCCGCCGCGGUAAUAC
rnacentral:rRNA from 1 species